GGCUUGGGAAUGAGAAAUUAGGUGAUUUAAUUUAAUGAAAUUAUGAUUAAUAAAAACACAUGGGAAUUUGAUUUUUCCGUCUUUUCUCUAAAUCCCAGCAACAAACACAAAGCUAUUCUCAGAUUCAAGGAACCAGUUCUUUCGUAAGCUUCGAGCCCAGCUCGGGGAAAAAAAAUUGGAACUUGCAUUUUUUUGAAUUCAAUUUUGGGAAGAUGAUUGGGAAUCCGGCAAUUCAAGUUCAAUCAUCACUAAUGCCAUCAUCGUCCAUGAUUGUUUGCCCUCGAGCUUCACCCAAUGGGCUUCCUUAUCUCCCACCGAAGAAACCUAGAACUAAGCAUUUAGUUGUAAGAGCUGCUGCAUCCAAUUCCGACGCUGCUCAUGGUCAAAGUCAACCAUCGUCUGGUGAAGGAGGGAAGAGUCCGCUCACUGUUGUUUUGGAUGUGCCUAGGAAUAUAUGGAAACAGACUUUAAAGCCUUUGAGUGAUUUUGGUUUUGGUAAGAGAAGUGUUUGGGAAGGUGGGGUUGGUUUGUUUAUUGUCUCUGGAGCUACACUUCUUGCUCUUAGCUGGGCUUGGUUGCGUGGUUUUCAAAUGCGGUCCAAGUUUAGGAAAUAUCAGACUGUCUUUGAGCUUAGUCAUGCCUCUGGUAUUUGUACUGGAACACCUGUUAGAAUCCGUGGGGUUACUGUUGGUACUGUGAUCCGUGUUAAUCCUUCCUUGAAGAACAUUGAAGCUGUUGCUGAGAUUGAAGAUGAUAAGAUUAUUAUCCCAAAGAAUUCACUGGUUGAGGUCAAUCAGUCUGGUCUUCUAAUGGAAACCAUGAUCGACAUUAUGCCUAGGAAUCCGAUACCAGAACCUUCUGUUGGACCUCUGCAUCCUGAAUGUGGUGUAGAAGGUCUGAUCGUUUGUGAUAGGCAGAAGAUUAAAGGAGAGCAAGGAGUAAGUUUAGAUGAAUUAGUUGGUAUUUUCACUCGUAUUGGACGCGAAGUAGAGGCCAUUGGUGUUGCCAAUACGUAUUCUCUUGCUGAGAGAGCGGCUUCAGUUAUUGAGGAAGCAAAACCAUUGCUCAUAAAGAUUCAAGCCAUGGCUGAAGAUGCUCAACCUUUGCUCUCUGAGUUUCGUGAUAGCGGCUUGCUCAAGGAAGUUGAGUGUCUUACUCGAAGCCUUACCCAAGCUUCUAACGAUUUGAGAAAGGUGAACGCAUCGAUUAUGACACCAGAGAAUACAGAACUCAUUCAGAAGUCAAUCUACACUCUGGUUUACACUUUGAAGAACGUCGAGAGCAUAAGCUCAGAUAUUCUGGGGUUCACAGGGGAUGAAGCCACAAGAAAAAACCUAAAACUACUCAUCAAAUCCCUCAGCAGGCUAUUAUGAUGAGCCUGGAGAGAAACCAACUCAAGAGAUUUUAGCAAGAUGUGUUUGUUCUUGGUUCUUUUUAGAGCAUUUACUUUUAACACGGAGACGGACGUCGAUGACGAUAAGCGCGUCUCGUUUUCGUGUAGGGUCUCUCUCAAAGGCAGAGGAGAAGA